UAGGGAAUCUUCGGCAAUGGGGGGAACCCUGACCGAGCAACGCCGCGUGAGUGAAGAAGGUUUUCGGAUCGUAAAGCUCUGUUGUUAAGGAAGAACGAGUGUGAGAAUGGAAAGUUCAUACUGUGACGGUACUUAACCAGAAAGGGACGGCUAACUACGUGCCAGCAGCCGCGGUAAUACGUAGGUCCCGAGCGUUGUCCGGAUUUAUUGGGCGUAAAGCGAGCGCAGGCGGUCAAUUAAGUCUGAUGUGAAAGCCCCCGGCUCAACCGGGGAGGGUCAUUGGAAACUGGUUGACUUGAGUGCAGAAGAGGAGAGUGGAAUUCCAUGUGUAGCGGUGAAGUGCGUAGAUAUAUGGAGGAACACCAGUGGCGAAGGCGACUCUCUGGUCUGUAACUGACGCUGAGGCUCGAAAGCGUGGGUAGCAAACAGG
rnacentral:rRNA from 1 species